UACGGAGGAUGCGAGCGUUAUCCGGAUUUAUUGGGUUUAAAGGGUGCGUAGGCGGGAUGCCAAGUCAGCGGUAAAAAUGCGGUGCUCAACGCCGUCGAGCCGCUGAAACUGGCGUUCUUGAGUGGGCGAGAAGUAUGCGGAAUGCGUGGUGUAGCGGUGAAAUGCAUAGAUAUCACGCAGAACUCCGAUUGCGAAGGCAGCAUACCGGCGCCCUACUGACGCUGAGGCACGAAAGCGUGGGUAUCGAACAGG
rnacentral:rRNA from 1 species